GUAGGAUAGAGGCCUACCAUGGUGGUAACGGGUAACGGGGUGUUAGGGCACGACACCAGAGAGGGAGCCUGAGAAACGGCUACCACAUCCAAGGAUGGCAGCAGGCGCGCAAAUUACCCAAUCCCGACACGGGGAGGUAGUGACAAUAAAUAACAAUACGGGGUUCUUUAGGAUUUCGUAAUUGGAAUGAGUACAAUUUAAAUCUCUUAACGAGGAACAAUUGGAGGGCAAGUCUGGUGCCAGCAGCCGCGGUAAUUCCAGCUCCAAUAGCGUAUAUUAAAGUUGUUGCAGUUAAAAAGCUCGUAGUUGAAUUUCGGGGUCAGUAGGUUGGUCAUGCCACUGGUAUGUACUGGUCUCACUGAUUCCUCCUUCCUGAUGAGCCGUAAUGCCAUUAAUUUGGUGUUGCGAGGAAUCUGGACUGUUACUUUGAAAAAAUUAGUGUGUUUAAAGCAGGCUAACGCUUGAAUACAUUAGCAUGGAAUAAUGAAAUAGGACGUUCGAUCUUAUUUUGUUGGUUUCUAAGAUUGACGUAAUGAUUAAUAGGGAUAGUUGGGGGCAUUAGUAUUCAAUUGUCAGAGGUGAAAUUCUUGGAUUUAUUGAAGACUAACUACUGCGAAAGCAUUUGCCAAGGAUGUUUUCAUUAAUCAAGAACGAAAGUUAGGGGAUCGAAGACGAUCAGAUACCGUCGUAGUCUUAGCCAUAAACUAUGCCGACUAGGGAUCGGAUGAUGUUAAUUUUUUAAUGACUCAUUCGGCGCCUUACGGGAAACCAAAGUGUUUGGGUUC
rnacentral:rRNA from 1 species